UACGUAGGGGGCAAGCGUUGUCCGGAAUCAUUGGGCGUAAAGAGCGUGUAGGCGGCCCGGUAAGUCCGCUGUAAAAGUCAAAGGCUCAACCUUUGAAUGUCAGUGGAUACUGCCGGGCUAGAGUCCGGAAGAGGCGAGUGGAACUCCUGGUGUAGCGGUGAAAUGCGCAGAUAUCAGGAAGAACACCCGUGGCGAAGGCGGUUCUCUGGGACGGUACUGACGCUGAGACGCGAAAGCGUGGGGAGCGAACAGG
rnacentral:rRNA from 1 species